ensembl:lncRNA
AUGACUCAUGACUGCAGGGACUAUAAAGGCUUUCGGGUGUCUUCAAAUCCCGGUUAAUGUUUGGUGUCAGUAUGAGGGCUCUUGUGGUUUUUGCGUUGGGAGUGCUGGGCUUUAGUCUGGCCGAAGGUCGAGUCGUGACCAAAUGCGAACUGAGGCAGCGGCUGUUCCAGGUGAUCGCCACCCUCCCACAGUCAGCUCAGCAGUCGGGACUGAAAGCCGAUGACAUUGUUGCCAAGAUCGUGUGCCAUGCAGAGCAGGGCUCCAACUUCACCACUAGUCUUAUAACUCAAGUUGCGGCUGAAAAAGGCCAGCACGGCGCCGUGGCGAGCACAGAGCCCCCCCACGCCCGAAAUCGACGCCACUCCAACCAGGGACAAAGCAGCGGCGAGAACGACGGCGUCUGGGCUAUGUACGGCCUCUUCCAGCUCAGCAGCCCUCAGUUCUGCAGCAGCGGCGAGAACGCCACGCCCAACAUCUGCCAGACGAGCUGCAGCAGUAAGAUUCAGACUCUGCAGCUUCACGACACACGUUUCCUUUCUCUGGUGUUUGAAUUUUGGUUUUAAAAUUUUGUUUUUUAUAGUUUUGCUUAGAUCUCAAAUCUAUUUUUGAGAAUUCUGAUAUGAUUUUUUUGGAAUUUAUUUACUUUUUAUCUACAAAGCUGCAACUUUUUAUUGAAAUUUGUUUUUAAAAGAAACUCACGUUGGGUUGUAGCAGAAUUAUUUAGAGUUAUUUACCAGUUAAACUCAUCAUCUGUAAGAGAAUGAAAAAUGAAAGUUAAUUUGUGCAAAUCACAAAUCAUUUCGACUUUUUUUUUCAAGAAUUUUUAACAAAAAGAUUGUUCAAUUUAACAUUCAUCCAAGAAUUCUAUUUUUUCUAAGAAGUGUAAUAUGUUGUCGUUGUCAAAAUGUUAAGAAAAGUGUAAAAAAAAGUAACAUAAAAAAACUAAUUGUUUUUUUUCUCAUUGUAUUCUGAAUCAGACAUUAUUUUUGUUUUAGUUUCAAAACAAAAAUGUAAACUCAUGUCAAAGUUAACCCCAAAAAAAUAGAAAAAUCUCAGCUAAGUUCAAGUUACACCAGUUAUUUUAGUAUAUAUAUUUUUUGCUUUUUUUUUUUAAUUUCAGUAACUAAGUUGCAAUGAAAAGUUAAAAUUUCUUAUCCUAACUUAAACACUUUCUUGCUAAUAAGUGGAUUUUUGAAAAAAGAAAAAUAAUUUUUAAAGAAAAAAAACAAAUUUUCAAUUGUAACAAAUCAACUCAUUUUUCUCUUCAGCCAUAACUACAUUUCUAGCUUUUGUUUUUAAGUAAAAUUUCAAAAUUUCAAAAUUUUAAGAGUACGUCUGUGGCUUUGAAAAAAAAAGUUUGGAAUUACUUUAUAACAAACAUUUCAGAGUAGAGAUUUUUAGAUUAUAUAAUCAAGUCUUUAGUCACUUUUUUCUUUAACUUGUUUUUUUUUUAAAUUUCCAGAAGACAUCACAGCCAAUCAGGUUGCUUCCCUUCAUCAUGUGCUCCUGUUACUGUUUUCUCUCCUCAGACUUCAUUGAUGAUGACAUAACGGACGACAUCAGCUGCGUGUUGAAGAUCCUCACCGACCUUCUGUAAGCUUUUAUGUAACUUUAGUUUUGAACUAAACCUUCUUACUUCUUUGUUAAUAAAGUAUUAAUAAUUCUCAUUAUUUUAAAUUGAAAACUAUCUUGGCCCAAACUGCACUAAAUCUUUUACUCAAUCAUUGACGCAAUCUUUAUCUGAAGACUUGCAAUGAUUGGAGAAACAGUUCAAAUUAUUUGUAAAAUUUAAAUAACAAUUUUAUUCUAAAUCUUUCCCCAGUGAAAAUGGCUUCAGGUCAGAGCACUGGAAUGAGCUGAAGAAGAUGUAAGUUUAUCUCACUUAGCGUCAGAAAUAAAAUUUCCCCAUCCUAAUGUAAAAGUUGAUUAUUUUUUUCUUUGUGUGCAGGAUCAAGGUCAUGUUCCAGGAGAAGUGCAGAGCGGUGCAAGCCAAAGAAUACUUUGCUGCAUGUCAAUAAAAUCCUUCAUUUUGAUGCAGCUUUGGUUCGAGGAUCCUCUGAAUGAAAUAAAUAAAAAGUACAAAGCAUGCGACACUUAAGGUUUUGUUUGUUCAAAAUCCAAAAUGACCGAAAGAUUAAAUUGAAUAAAUAUGUUUGGAAAGUUUACUGAAUUCCUUCUGUCUGUUAUCUGAUAAUAGUAAAUGCUAAAAAUAGAUUUUGGUUCAAACAGUUGUUGAUUCAGAGGUCAUUUGAAAGUUUUUUAAAGUUUUUUUUCUGAUUCAGUUGAACUUCAGACUUUCUGUAAAAUUAAUAAAAUUUCAACCAUAAACUUAAAUUGACCUUAAUGGGAUCAUCUGUCUGAUUCUUCUGAAAUGGUUCCCUGAGCAAAUCUGAGAACACUUAAAAAUGAAACUUAAAUAAAAUGUCCUAAUUUAUCAUUUUAUGUUUGUAAAAAUCACACCAACUUAGUUUAAUAAGAUGUUUUCUCUUUUUUUAAGGUUUUAUUUUGUAAUAACAAAUUUCAAUGAAUUGUUUUUAAUGAUGUAUGUACCUAGAUGAAGGUGUAAUGAUCAAUGUCAUUUUUUUAUGUUGUGUAUUAAUGCAUGGAUUAUUUUAAUAAGGACUAAUGGGGAUCCUUAAAUAAAUAAAUAAGUGUCCUAAAAAGUUAAAUAAAGUUAAAAAGCAUCUUUAAUUGUUAGCAACAUCGCUGAUACAGUUUGCAAAAACUUUCCUAACUUUAC